GCGGCAGGCUUAACACAUGCAAGUCGAGCGGAGACUUCGGUCUUAGCGGCGAACGGGUGAGUAAUACCUAGGAAUCUGCCUAUUAGUGGGGGAUAACGGCUCGAAAGGGUCGCUAAUACCGCAUACGUCCUACGGGAGAAAGUGGGGGAUCUUCGGACCUCACGCUAAUAGAUGAGCCUAGGCCGGAUUAGCUAGUUGGUAGGGUAAAGGCCUACCAAGGCGACGAUCCGUAGCUGGUCUGAGAGGAUGAUCAGCCACACUGGAACUGAGACACGGUCCAGACUCCUACGGGAGGCAGCAGUGGGGAAUAUUGGACAAUGGGCGCAAGCCUGAUCCAGCCAUGCCGCGUGUGUGAAGAAGGCCUUCGGGUUGUAAAGCACUCUAAGCGAGGAGGAAGGUCUUUGAACUAAUAUUUCAAAGAAUUGACGUUACUCGCAGAAUAAGCACCGGCUAACUCUGUGCCAGCAGCCGCGGUAAUACAGAGGGUGCCAGCGUUAAUCGGAAUUACUGGGCGUAAAGC
rnacentral:rRNA from 1 species